AUGAGAAAAAAAAAUGAUUAAUAAUCGUCUUUAAAGUUUUUACAGAUUUACAAAACAUGGUAUAUCAAAUCACGUCAUGUCUAAGAGAGAGGACUGCAUGUAACUUUCACGUGACGUGUAUAAGAAUAACAGUCUGGGAAAAAAAAAAACUUUUAAUUUCGUAAACAUUGUAAAUAACUUGCGAAUUCUGGUAAUGGCCCGACCCGAAAGACGCGAGUUUGCCAGAAUAAUGUUCGUCAAAACUUUUUACAACUUCGCGUGGCGCAGACGACAGUGAGCAAACAAGAAACACAGAUGAUUUUUUUUGAAAAUUUAAUACAAACUAAUGCUUAUCGUUUAUGAACGUCGAAUGAUAGAAAUGUCGUUCACUGUUUAUUAAGUUUCAUAUUGUUCACAAAGUUUGUAUCUAGUCCAUAUUUCACGAAAGAAAAAAAAACGAAGAACAAACUCGUAUAUGUAUAAAAAUAUAAUAAUAUUAAAAUACGAUUUAUAAAUGUUAUCAUAUAUAAAAUACUAGCUGUCGCACUCGGCGUUGCCCGGGCAAAGUCACCUCCAGCGAAAACUGAGAUUUUUUCACAUUGAAAAUAUUAGAAAGAUAAUUAGGAGUAUAAGGAUUCAAAAACGGAUUAAUUAUUUUGGAUUGCAGUUUGACGGCAGUGACGAAAUUACAGAUGAUUGGGGUUUACUGAGGAUGAUUGUAUAGAAUUUCGGCUAUCGAUUGGAGAAGAUAAGAGGUGUUCUUGUGUCGAGAUAUAUUCGAAAUUCAGUAAUAUUCAAUCGAGGAUUUUACUGUUGACGGAUGAUAAUAAAAGAACAUUUUUUCAGUAUGGAUAUUAUACCUUUAGUCUUUACAAUAUACUAAAUAUCACAUUAUAUUGAUUGCAAUUAUUUAUGUAAAGUAAUAAUACUUAACAAAACGACAAGACUAAUUAAAAUAUGAUUUUAGCUAAGUAAUUAUUUGACGUACUCGGCUUACUUCAAUACAACAGUAAUUAUCUUAGUGAGUUAGGCCAAUAUAAGGAUUUCUGUUAUAGUUUCCCGACUUUUAUAUUAUUAACAACUAUUGUUAUAUAUAUAUAUAGUAGGGCUGUGCACGGGGGGCUUUGAUUGAAGCAAAACUAUAGUCCAAGUUGAAAAUCUUGUUGUUUGAAUAAUUACGGAGUUUGAAAAGUUUUGGGCAUCGAGAACGUCAUCAAACGCGUAAGGUAGACAUCUUGCAGACUGCGCUGCAAUGAAGUGUUUUGUCUGCAAUGUUCGAAGGAAUGCCACUCGGCUAUCUACGUGGUUAUGAGUGAAAAUGCUUCGAAAUCUUGUAAGGUCCCGAACGUAUAAUGAUCCUCUUUGUGUUGGUAAUUUUAAGGGGAAAAACAAAUAUUCGUUUCCACCGCUAGUUAUUCGCUAUUGUCCUUCACCGCUGGUCCUUUAUCAUAAGACCGAAUAAAUUAGACUUCACGUUUCUUCGGAGUUCGCUGAACAUUUUUUCAAGGGUGAAACCUAUUAUGAUUUCUAUUGUUUUUUAAUUACCCCAUCUUGGCAUAAACUUUUUAAAUCCUUUGAAUUCAAAGCAUAAUUAUUAAUUACACCAUUGCGGUGAAUAUAUAUAUAUAUAUAUUUUUUUCGAGUUUUGAUGUAAAUAUCACGCAGGUACAUCAAAUUAUAUGAAUGAUAUUAUGAUUAAGUUGAUUUGUACGGAUAUAAAAUUUUCGCAAAAGUAUUGUUUACAUUUGUAAAUAAUUAAAUUGGCGGGUAAUGAUUGAUUUAUUUGGUAAACAUAAUGAUAUUAAAGUGAUGGUAUAUCUAAAGAAAAGCUGUCAGACAUUGGUUAAAAGCUUAGAAAUUGAUUGAAUAAUAAAUUACCAUCUUCGAUGUAUUACUUAAAAAUUAAAACGCAAUAGAAUGGAUAAUUUUUUACCAAGUUUUCUCCUUUAUUUAAACUGUUACUAAACGUUCUUUACAGUUUUACAACAAUUUUUUUGACGGCUUCGUUGUGGAAGGUACUUUAUAUAAUAGCGUUCUUACUAUGAAAUAUAGCACUUCUGGGACCCAUAAUUUUAAUGUCACCCAAUCGAUCCUACAUAAAGACUGCCGAAAGCGACUAGGUCAUGGAGUUUACAGUAUACAACUACUAGGUAUUCUGUUGGUUUUUUUUUUAACGUUUAGCCAUAGAUUUGUGGUGAAAUUGAACUAAACCCUUAUUUCGUGUUUGCUUUGUACCUACAUUAUAUAAUAAUACUAUUUGUUCUGUAUAUAUAUUCUUAAUCUGUCGUAGGUAAAUGUUGAUUUAACUGAUUAACAAUAUGUGUGUUUUCGUGUCUAAUGUCUAUACUCUGCAGUAUUAUAUAGUCAGUAUAAAAUAAUAGUAAUAACAAUAAUAAAAUGUGCACUUUCUAUCUAAAUUUUAAUAAUUCUAUUACACUUGUGUAGGCAAAAUUAUCGACAAGAAACUAAAAAUAUAUAGGUACAUUUUCAUAUAUACGAUGUAUACAUAAUAUCGGAUAGAUACGCACAAACUGUUAACAUUUACGUUAUCGGUAUAAGCGCAUAACUCACCUAUAAAAUAUACGUUAUGUCGUAUGGCUCGAGGUGAUUAUACAUGGCAAAAUUAAUGGAUUGUGAAUCGUACAGUACGGUUGGAGGGCGAAAAAAUAUAUCUCCUUACACACACACACACACACACACACUAUACAGCUUUAGAGCCAUAUCAUAUCGUGUAUAAUAAUAAUAAUAAUAAUAAUAUACCAUGGAUAGGGAAAUAUAGUUCUAUAUACUUUAUAGACUAUGCCUUGCGUGUCGUUUUCCCGUUGCAUGUCACAAACCUACUCUUGUUUGGAGGUCCGAUUAUACACAUAUAUAUUAUACUAUGUACACAUACACACCAGGCACACCAGGCACCCCUAACUACCCUCCAAAUCACGUCACGCUGCAGCGAGAGGAAGAGGAAAAAGUCGUAAAAUUAUACGAUUCGUAAAAACAAAAAUACCUCUUACACAUGUACGUAUAAUAUUGUAUAGGUCUGUAUGUGAUUUACAACGGUCGCGCGCGUAUAGAGAGGAACGAUGCACGGCACUUUUCUUUAUUUAUUUUCAUGUUUUUAUUUUUUUAACGGGUAACAUAUCCGUGUAGGCGACUACUGUACUAUAUUUUAUCGAAACGAUAAGGUUUACGAACGAUUCCACGUAAAAAUGUUGUUUAUAAAACUGCUGCAGUUUGCUGCUGGCCUUAGAUUUCUUAUCAAAAAUUAAGGUGCACCUAUAUGUGGUAUUCCGCGCACGUAUUAUAAGAGCCACCCUUCGUAUUCGACUCUUUGAAAAUAAUGUUUCCUGUUCAUCACUUACUCACGGAAACGUCCAAACCGUUAUAAUUUAUUUACGAUGCUAUUUUAUAAAUUGGCUGCGUUAGUUUAUUAUAUUAUUAUACAUAGUGGCGAUCAUUAUGUGUGACGUUACUGCAUGCGUCGAAUUCGCUUCGGUUUUUUUUUUUAACUUUUUACUUUAGGAUCGACAAUAAUAUUUAUAUAAUAUUAUAAUAUUGAGCCAUUAUUGUAAUAAUAUGCUGAAAAUUAAUAUUCCAACUUUAUAUCAUUAAACAGUCAAACAUGGUGAUGGCACUUCAGAAUUUUCGUCAAUGUUUAAUAUAUAUUCAACUCACGUAUAAUAUAAUAUGAUUAUUUAUUCAAUAUUUUAAUAAAUUUAUUUCCUAAUCGAAAUAAUAUUAUAUUUACUGUUCGUAUUCAUGCACUAUUUAAUCAGUAUAUUGAUUAUUAUUAAUAACCCAUAACCUGUAAUAAUUUUAGUGAUUCACUAUAUUAUAUUUUACCAAAGGAUUUAAUUUUUGUUUCCACGAUAUCGAUUUUAGAUUAUUAGACAUUAAUAUUAGAUUUUAAUUUUAAUUUCAUGAUAGUUAUUUCUGCUUUUUAUGCUCGACAGCUGCGUAUGUACUUUUAUGGUAGGUUACCGAGGUAGACAAUUUCGCGGUAUAAAAAUAAAACAGUUUCGUCUAUGAGUAAUAUUAUAAUCAUUAAUUAUCUAUUUAUUAUAUUUUACACCUAAUAACAUACAUUAUUAAUUACAGCUAAAAACAAAGAGUUCAUGUGAUUCUUUAAAAAUAAAGAAACGUUUCCAGAAAAGCGAUUCCGUGUGGCUGUCAGCUAUUACAAUACUUCCCAAUGUACAGCAUUCUGUCAGAUUUUGUUUAUUAUUUUCGUUCGAACGAAUGGAUUUUGUCUAAAUAAUACACCACAGAAAACGGACAUUGAAAACGAAAACGUUAACCCGCCGAAGAGUUUGUGAAGCCGUCUGCGAUGUAUUAAUGGUUUUGAAUUUUGAUAAACGCCAAGAUAUUAUUAUAAUAUAAAUAACGACCGUUUUUUUUGUGCGAUAACUAAUAAUAAUAGUAAUAUAAUAGGGGUGUGCAAGCCGUAAGGUGUGUUUUAAAAGAGCAACGUUAUUAAAUACAUUAGUUUUUGGGGCUACCGAUGUAAUUAUUUAUGAAUGAUUAAUGUAUGUCAACGCAAUGCUAUCGAUCGUUUAAAAUGUCGUAUUAUAAUAUUAUUAUUAUUAUUAUCAUCAUCAAGUAAUUUCAAAAAGCAAUAAUAUUAUCGUGCCAACUUGAAGUAUAUUUAUUUGAAAAGUUUGCCGAAUGCCAAUAAAUAUAUAUGAUAACACAUAAUAUACAGGUACAUGAACGAUGGUUACUGCUUAUAUAUAUAUCACGAAUCGUUUAAAUUUACGUCAAUUGACAAUCAAACCGUGCCCUGUGGUAUAUAAUGAUAAAUUGGUUGUUGAUUUACAAUAAUAUUAUACCAAUAUAAUACAUAAUAAUAUAUAAUAAUAUUAUUUUUUUUUUUUGGCGUUAUAUUAUGUUAGUCUAAUCGUGAACUUUAUGUAACAUGUAUUAUACUGUGUAUAAGUACCACUGCAGUCAUGCAUACGUGUUAUUGUACAAUAAAUCCAUCUGUGCACGAUAAUAAUUUACUUAUUUCCAUUAUUACGACUUAAUAAUGCCAUUGCAUAUUAUAAUGCACAGGACAACACGACAUGGUCAGAUUAAUUAGCAUUUUAUAUAUUUUUAAUUGCCCGAAUGUUGCUAACGUUUUACAGCGUUUAAUAUUAUGCACAGUUGACCUUUUAGGUUUCCUAGAAACGCUGUCAUAUUAAAAAAAUAAAUGCUCAAAUAUUUAUUUUAUAAAAUAUUAUAACGUGGGUUAUCGUAUAUUAUAAUAUUAAUAUCAAACAAUUAUGAACAAAAGAGACGAGUUUUGUUUGAAAUUGUAUUUAUAACAAUAUUGUGCUCAACUAUUAUAGGUAUAGAGGUAUGCGAGUACCUAGCUAGUAGAUUACGAUUUCGAAGAAGAAAAAAAGGUUGGUUCAUGGUAAAAUAAAUUUUCAUCAUAAACAUAUUAUAAUAAAAAACAAACUUUUAGAAUUAUCAAAUAUUAUACGUAGACGUUCGAAAAUUAAUCUAAAAGUCAAUAAUAAUAAUUUGACACGUAAAAUGCAACACAAAUAUUUAAUAUUUAUUUUGAGACGAGAAAAUUGACGGGUACAGUUAUAUUAGGUAUACGUAUUAGAUUGAUUUCAGUUCAAUCCGAUAUCAAUCGAUACGGUGAAAAAUAAAUGAAUGUUACAAAAAAUAAAAAAUAAUAUUAAAAGUUAUUUAAAAGUCGUAUUAUUAAGUACAUUUUAAGUUUUAUUUAAAUAAAUAUAUACGAGGGUAGUCUGAUUUGAAAAUGUUUAAGAAUUAAUUAUGAUAAUAACAGGGUUUGAAAGUUGUAGGAGUUAUCAGAUAAAUUAUGCACAAAAUUCUCAAAAAUCAAAUAAAUUAUGAAUUUAUGAAUAACGUUAAGCGUUUUAAAAUUAUUAUGAAUUAAAUUUACCUCAAGUUUGGCUGAGGAUCGUUUCGAACGGUGUAUUUUAUUCACUAAAAUUAAUAAUGAAUAGCACAACUAAAUUAAAAAAUCCACGCAACGCACUGGAAAUCCAGCGAAAAGUUACGUGGCCGUUUUAAAAUUCACCGCUUUGGCUGCGUGCAACAAAAAUAAUUUUGAAGCGCGCACAGAAACCAAACUCUCACGAAUUUCGAGCAUCUGCAGUAUCAUGACAGUUAAAAACAAUAUUUUACCUCGUGGUAGGUAAUAAAUAUGUAUAUUGUAUUUGGGGAUGGAAAAAUAAUCAUCACCCAUAAUAGUGCACGAAAUCGAUAUAUACACAUCCGUGGUCAGCUGCGCGGACAUACAACACCCGUAGUUUCGGCGAAAACGGCGAGCCACGCUGAUGAAAUGAAAUUGCAAGAGCUUUAAUACACGUGACAAUACAUUUAUCAAGAGACGUACACCACACAGAGGGAGUAUGGGAGAGAGAGAAAAAGAGAGGAAGAGAGAGGAGAGAGACAGAGAGACAGAGGCAGAGAGAGUGAGAGAAAUUCUUUCAGAGCUCUACAGAACUCCCACCGGACCGCAAAAAAAAAAAAUCUGUUAUAGCAGUAUAUAUACAUAUACAAUAUAUAUAUCGUACAAAGGUGUAGUGAAAAUAAAUACACUCACGGUGAGUGUAUUGAAAUCAAAUGGACCGUUUCGGGGUGAAAUGCGUUUUUUGAUCAAAAGUCAUUGGCUAUUUAUUUUUAGCGUGCGUCGACACGACCCGACGAGGAAGCGGAUGAUAAUGUUAUAUAAUAAUAAUAUACACAAACACGCCGCGCCCGAGCACACCACUAACCGCGCAUGAUACAAAGUCAUCGCCGGAAGCUCUGUCGGAAAAUGAAAAUAUCUAAUAGUUUUCCACGGCGGAAUAAUAGGAAAACUCGUGGACGCAUUUUCCGGUAUUUUAUUUUUCAAUCGCUACAUCAUUAUAAUAAUAUA